rnacentral:rRNA from 1 species
GACGAACGCUGGCGGCGUGCUUAACACAUGCAAGUCGAACGGAAAGGCCCUGCUUUUGUGGGGUGCUCGAGUGGCGAACGGGUGAGUAACACGUGAGUAACCUGCCCUUGACUUUGGGAUAACUUCAGGAAACUGGGGCUAAUACCGGAUAGGAGCUCCUGCUGCAUGGUGGGGGUUGGAAAGUUUCGGCGGUUGGGGAUGGACUCGCGGCUUAUCAGCUUGUUGGUGGGUAGUGGCUUACCAAGGCUUUGACGGGUAGCCGGCCUGAGAGGGUGACCGGCCCAAUGGGGACUGGAGUACGGCCAAAACCCCUUCGGGGGGCAGCAGUGGGAAAAGUUGCAAAAUGGGCGAAACCCUGAUGCAGAAACCCCGCGGGGGGGAUGCCGGCCUUCGGGUUGUAACCCGCUUUCCCCUGUGGCAAAGCGUGGGUGCCGGUAGUGGGUAAAGAAGCCCCGGCUACCUACGU